GAGCACUGUUUCGGCUAGGGGGCCAUCCCGGCUUACCAACCCGAUGCAAACUGCGAAUACCGGAGAAUGUUAUCACGGGAGACACACGGCGGGUGCUAACGUCCGUCGUGAAGAGGGAAACAACCCAGACCGCCAGCUAAGGUCCCAAAGUCAUGGUUAAGUGGGAAACGAUGUGGGAAGGCCCAGACAGCCAGGAUGUUGGCUUAGAAGCAGCCAUCAUUUAAAGAAAGCGUAAUAGCUCACUGGUCGAGUCGGCCUGCGCGGAAGAUGUAACGGGGCUAAACCAUGCACCGAAGCUGCGGCAGCGACACUGUGUGUUGUUGGGUAGGGGAGCGUUCUGUAAGCCUGUGAAGGUGUGUCGUGAGGCAUGCUGGAGGUAUCAGAAGUGCGAAUGCUGACAUAAGUAACGAUAAAGCGGGUGAAAAGCCCGCUCGCCGGAAGACCAAGGGUUCCUGUCCAACGUUAAUCGGGGCAGGGUGAGUCGACCCCUAAGGCGAGGCCGAAAGGCGUAGUCGAUGGGAAACGGGUUAAUAUUCCCGUACUUGGUGUUACUGCGAAGGGGGGACGGAGAAGGCUAUGUUGGCCGGGCGACGGUUGUCCCGGUUUAAGCGUGUAGGUGUGUGUUCCAGGUAAAUCCGGUUCACUUUAACACUGAGGCGUGACGACGAGGCACUACGGUGCUGAAGCAACAAAUGCCCUGCUUCCAGGAAAAGCCUCUAAGCAUCAGGUAACAUCAAAUCGUACCCCAAACCGACACAGGUGGUCAGGUAGAGAAUACCAAGGCGCUUGAGAGAACUCGGGUGAAGGAACUAGGCAAAAUGGUGCCGUAACUUCGGGAGAAGGCACGCUGACACGUAGGUGAAGUGAUUUACUCAUGGAGCUGAAGUCAGUCGAAGAUACCAGCUGGCUGCAACUGUUUAUUAAAAACACAGCACUGUGCAAACACGAAAGUGGACGUAUACGGUGUGACGCCUGCCCGGUGCCGGAAGGUUAAUUGAUGGGGUCAGCGCAAGCGAAGCUCCUGAUCGAAGCCCCGGUAAACGGCGGCCGUAACUAUAACGGUCCUAAGGUAGCGAAAUUCCUUGUCGGGUAAGUUCCGACCUGCACGAAUGGCGUAAUGAUGGCCAGGCUGUCUCCACCCGAGACUCAGUGAAAUUGAACUCGCUGUGAAGAUGCAGUGUACCCGCGGCAAGACGGAAAGACCCCGUGAACCUUUACUAUAGCUUGACACUGAACAUUGAGCCUUGAUGUGUAGGAUAGGUGGGAGGCUUUGAAGUGUGGACGCCAGUCUGCAUGGAGCCGACCUUGAAAUACCACCCUUUAAUGUUUGAUGUUCUAACGUGGACCCGUUACCCGGGUUGCGGACAGUGUCUGGUGGGUAGUUUGACUGGGGCGGUCUCCUCCUAAAGAGUAACGGAGGAGCACGAAGGUUGGCUAAUCCUGGUCGGACAUCAGGAGGUUAGUGCAAUGGCAUAAGCCAGCUUGACUGCGAGCGUGACGGCGCGAGCAGGUGCGAAAGCAGGUCAUAGUGAUCCGGUGGUUCUGAAUGGAAGGGCCAUCGCUCAACGGAUAAAAGGUACUCCGGGGAUAACAGGCUGAUACCGCCCAAGAGUUCAUAUCGACGGCGGUGUUUGGCACCUCGAUGUCGGCUCAUCACAUCCUGGGGCUGAAGUAGGUCCCAAGGGUAUGGCUGUUCGCCAUUUAAAGUGGUACGCGAGCUGGGUUUAGAACGUCGUGAGACAGUUCGGUCCCUAUCUGCCGUGGGCGCUGGAGAACUGAGGGGGGCUGCUCCUAGUACGAGAGGACCGGAGUGGACGCAUCACUGGUGUUCGGGUUGUCAUGCCAAUGGCACUGCCCGGUAGCUAAAUGCGGAAGAGAUAAGUGCUGAAAGCAUCUAAGCACGAAACUUGCCCCGA
rnacentral:rRNA from 1 species